CCAAGAUACAUUAAGUACAGUUUUCAAAAAUUUGGCAAAACUAGAUGGAGAAAAAUCACCGGGACCAGUGUGUUCACAUACAUUUCAAUUUUCAACAGGGCCCAAUGAAUAUUCCUUUCUAUAAAUCCAUAAUUAGGUAAGAAUAAUUUCGUGUCAAAUACAUAAAUAAUGAGUUUUUCCUCUUUCGAAGUGAAGCAGACAACAUUUGCCAUGAUUUUCCGAUUAAUACAAAAAUGGAUUACAUGUAAUGUUCUUCAAGCGAAAUACAAACAAACUCAAUUUCAUUUCGUUCCGUUCGAAAUUAUCCCUGCUACUUUGUAUCAACCCAGGAAGCCAUGUUGUAGAAGUAGGUCAAAGAAGUGCAACAACGACAUGGACAUAACGCUUCGAGUGAUAGCCGGAAAUAUCCUCAGGAGCAUGGUGGCAUCCUCGACACUUCUCUAACCCCCCGGCGGAUGGUGUAGUGGUAGGAGCUGUGGAUAUUUCAUGGAAUGGGCGUUCUCCGUCGGUAUCAAACGAUGAUUUUCAGCAAUAUGGAUGAUGAAUGCUUACAGAAUACAAUAUGUAUGGACGUAUAACCUUUAUAAAGAAGUGCAAAAACAUGUAUGAAUGAGUGUGAUUGAUAUUGCUGUUAAAAGUAUCUUGAA